rnacentral:rRNA from 1 species
GAUGAACGCUAGCGACAGGCCUAACACAUGCAAGUCGAGGGGCAGCAUGAAAGUAGCUUGCUACUUUUGAUGGCGACCGGCGCACGGGUGCGUAACAGGUGUGCAAUCUGUCCAUAAUCGGGGAAUAGCCCAGCGAAAGUUGGAUUAAUGCUCCAUGUGAGCCGAGGAGGCAUCUCUUUGGUUUGAAACGUAAGGAUUAUGGGUGAGCACGCUUCUGAUUAGGUAGUUGGUGAGGUAACGGCUCACCAAGCCGACGAUCAGUAGGGGUUCUGAGAGGAAGGUCCCCCACAUUGGAACUGAGACACGGUCCAGACUCCUACGGGAGGCAGCAGUGAGGAAUAUUGGUCAAUGGGCGCAAGCCUGAACCAGCCAAGUAGCGUGAAGGAAGACUGCCCUAUGGGUUGUAAACUUCUUUUAUACGGGAACAAACCCUGGUACGUGUACCAGAUUGCGUGUACCGUAUGAAUAAGCAUCGGCUAACUCCGU